rnacentral:lncRNA from 1 species
CCAUGCCCGCCUACGGAGACGUACAUUGCAACGCGUCCAUGCCAUGCUUCGCUUGCUGGCCAACGACAAUCAAGGAUAACGCCAUGCUGCUCCAGCCAUACCCUGUUACAACUGUCAACGCCUUACCGUUCACGAGGACUGCACCAUGCGCCUCAAGCAAGCUCUAGCUACGCGUCGUCUGGCUUGAAGCUAUCUCCUCUCAUGAUGAGAACGGGCCAUACCUCUGCCACCUGGGCACCUCUACAGGGAUUAUAAAUAGCCCCAACAGGUAACGCCUAAGGAACUUUUGAUUCAUCUGAGAUCCACCCUAACUUGAGCGUCGGAGGGCCCUCACCGGAACCACCGAUAAGGCUUUGUGCAGGUACGCCGUCGCACGGGAGGUGGCUCACCCUCUUUCUCAACAUUCCGGCAGCUCCUUCGACUCCUCCGGCGUGGUCACCCUCGGGCCAAAUUUGAACCACAACAAUAACAAUAAUUGUCUGUUGAUUUAUUCUUUCUAGUAACCUUAAACAUGGCCUAUAUGUAUAAAGUUUGUCAAAAUUACAUGUAAUAUAGCGCCAUUGUCAUUAGG